CCCUCCGCGGCCCCUGUAGUCUUUGGCUCCAGCUGGCCGGGGAUGAGGAUGGGGUAAAAGGAAUUCCAGUCUCCUGGAAAGGGGGUCAGUUUUCCUUCAGUCACUGUCUUCCCUGACAGCUUCCUGUUUAACCGGCUGGGGUGAUCUGUUGUGACUCAGGGCACCCUCCAUCCCCAAAUUCCUGGGAAGUGGCAAAGGCAGUUACAGAUCCUGGCCACAAGCACCCAUGGGAGACAGAAAGGUCUAAACAAUGGUGACCCCACACACACACACCCACACACCUACACACAGAGUCAAGAACAGAAGGGGGUGUUGGGAUCGUGAAAAGUCGGUGGACAUGAAGCCCGGGGCUGCCUGCCUGGGUUCCUGUGCCUGCCCCAGCUCUGCAGUCUGGCCGAGUGCCAGGAGGACGGCGGCAGGCUCAGCAGGUCCCGGGCGUGGUACUGCCCAGCAGUGGAGCCAGCCUACACUGGCGCGGCAGGCAGGCAGGCGCGGCAGAGCCCCGCGGGACUGGGAGGCUGCACUUGUGGCAGACACCUGCCGAGGGGUGAGGCUAUGGUCCCCGUCCUGUACCUCCUCCUGCCCACCCUGGGCUGCUAUGUCGCGCUCUCCAUCUUCUUCCUGCGCCGACCCCACCUGCUGCACGCAACCAGGGCUCCGGCCUUCCCCAUCCGCCUGGCUGCCCACCGCGGAGGGUCUGGAGAGCGGCUGGAGAAUACCAUGGAGGCCAUAGAGAAUUCCAUGGCCCAGCGAGCAGAUCUCCUGGAACUUGACUGCCAGCUCACACGGGAUGGCGUGGUGGUAGUAUCCCACGACAAGAACCUGUCCCGCCAGUCAGGCCUAAAUAAGGAUGUGAACAGCCUGGAUUUUAAGGAACUGCCCCUCUACAAGAAAGAACUGGAGAUCUAUUUCUCACCAGGCCAAUUUGCCCACGGGUCAGAUCGACACAUGAUACGACUGGAGGACGUAUUCCAGAAAUUUCCAAGGUUGCCCAUGAGUGUGGAGAUCAAAGAAAAAAAUGAAGAGCUCAUUCACAAGGUAGCCAACCUGGCUAGGAGCUUUGACCGCAGCGACAUUACCAUCUGGGCUUCAGAGAAGAACUCAGUCAUGAAGAAGUGCAAGGCUGCCAACCCUGACAUGCCGAUGGCCUUCACCAUACUGAGAUCAAUCUGGAUACUGCUGCUCUACUACCUGGGGCUGCUACCUUUUGUCUCCAUCCCUGAGAAGUUUUUCUUCUGCUUCCUGCCCACCAUCAUCAACAGGACUUACUUCCCAUUUUCCUCUGGAUGGAUGAAUCGACUCUCAGCUGCGGUUACAAAAUGGUUCAUCAUGAGGAAAAGCCUGAUCCGACAUUUGCAGGACCGAGGGAUACAGGACCACGAUCCUCAGCGCCCAGGGCGGGAAGCUUUUGAAGGUCUGCCGUAGGAAACAUGACCCAGAUAAACUCAUACAGUAAGACUCACUUGGUCUACAACAUGGCGACCGUGUGAUGAUGGGACAGGAGAGUGACAUUAAGAGCCUGAUGCGGCCAUGAACAGGAGUCAAACUUGAGUGACCACAGUGGGAACAGACGGAACAGUUAACUCCCAGAGAGGAGCUUGGGCCACUGCCUGUAUGGAUGAGGCAGGAGGAGAAGAGCUGUUCCUUACCAGCCCCCUCUCACCUCUGACCUCCACGUGUUUAAAGUCGGGACCCUUGCCUGUGAAACUAAGACAUCUAGAGACCAUGUCAAGUCAACCAGCUGCAGGGGCUCACACACAUAGUCCCUGGGACACAGAGGCAAGAGGAUGGUGCUAUUUUGGUGCCUUAAUGAAGAAUCGGAUUUUGAAGUGGCCUUCAACCUGGGGGCUAAUGGUGUCAUGACUGAUUUCCCCAC